CUGAGCUAUCCCCGCCGUCGAUUCGUCCACCGCCACUGCCUCCGUCAUACGCCGCUGCUCCGUCCCCUCCGGGAGACGCUGUCGUCGCUGCCGGGAGACACGACGCCGCUGCUGUCAGCAGCGUCGUCGGUCAGUCUCUCCCACUCCGUUGCCCCGAUCUACCCCGAAACAGCCCCGACGCCCCCGAUUCCAAACCGGUUCGUUAAAGGUUAUUGCAGAAGAAAUUGAUAUACCUUUGGAGAGGAGAAAUUGCCUAGCAGCAGAAGGAAUUGAAUUCACGGCAGUUUUGUAUUUUUUUUAUCCUCAAACUGUGAUGUCAAGCAAGAAUUGUGGCAGGAGUCAGUAAAUUGCGAUUUUGUACUCGCAGAAUUGAAUUUGAAGGGAUAAUACCUUUAGUUU